AGUGAACGCUGGCGGCGUGCCUAAUACAUGCAAGUCGAACGGAGUGGCGCACGGGUGAGUAAUAUAUAGCUAAUCUGCCCCUUGCUGGAGGACAACAGUUAGAAAUGACUGCUAGUACUCCAUAGCAAGGGAUGAGACGAUAUCGUAUCAGCGAGUCGGUGGGGUAACGGCCUACCGAGGCUAUGACGCGUGACUGGUCUGAGAGGAUGGUCAGUCUCAUUGGAACUGAGACACGGUCCAAACUCCUACGGGAGGCAGCAGGAGGGUAUAUUGCGCAAUGGGGGAAACCCUGACGCAGCAACGCCGCGUGGAGGAGGACACUUUGCUGAGCGUAAACUCCUUUUGUUAGGGAAGCGGUACCGAACGAAUAAGCACCGGCUAACUCCGUGCCAGCCGCCGCGGUAAUUC
rnacentral:rRNA from 1 species